rnacentral:rRNA from 1 species
UGCGCAGGCGGCUUUAUAAGACAGGCGUGAAAUCCCCGGGCUUAACCUGGGAACUGCGCUUGUGACUGUAAGGCUAGAGUUUGUCAGAGGGGGGUGGAAUUCCACGUGUAGCAGUGAAAUGCGUAGAGAUGUGGAGGAACACCGAUGGCGAAGGCAGCCCCCUGGGAUAAAACUGACGCUCAGGCACGAAAGCGUGGGGAGCAAACAGGAUUAGAUACCCUGGUAGUCCACGCCCUAAACGAUGUCGACUAGUUGUCGGGGAUUAACUUCCUCGGUAACGCAGCUAACGCGUGAAGUCGACCGCCUGGGGAUACGGUCGCAAGAUUAAA